GCCCGGUGCUGUGGCGUCUUAGCUCCGCAGACGCGAGGCUGGCACCGCCCAGCCUUCCUGUGGAAGCGGAAGCGGAAGCGCAGCCCUCGCCAUAGCGCUCCAAACGCGGGCACUUCCGGCCGAGCUGCCCGGCGUUCCGUAUAAUGAUCCAGCGGUUGUAAUUGCCUUGUUCAGUUCCCAGGAGCUUACCAACACCUAUUCCCAGAAGAUGGAACACCAAGGAGGGGCCACGUUGGUGACAUUUGCCAAUGUCACCAUGGCCUUCCAUAAAUAAAUCUCUCAUCACGACUGAGAUUUUGUUGAGCCACAUGUCCUGGAAGGAGGGGACAACAUGAACCACGUGCCCCAAACCUGCAGGCAUCUUUAUGAGAGCUGGAUGUGUUCCAUUCAUUUCACCCAGAAGUCAUUGCACCUGAUCUCGUCACAAGUUAAUGAUUGCAAAAUCAUUUGAAGAGAAGAGCUAAAUGAACCAUUUUAUUUAGACUUAUACCAGUUCUGAGUCAACAUUUGUAGACACAAGGAGGUGGUAGCUAGUAUUUGUUCCUUCCUGGUUGGUAUAAAUCAAAUGCCUGUCAGGUUAUUGAAAGCUUGCUCCUUAAAGAAAUACUUUCUCAACUAAAAAAUAGCAGCUCAGUUACUUUGUUUCUAAAUACUUGUGACACUGACGCAACACCACCAAAAAAGUACAUGUGAAGUGUAAACUGACUGGAAGUCAGGAAGAGCUAUAGGUCAAGAUCUAAUAUAAAUAUGAUCCCCCAUUGUUCCGGUACACUGUGUCAGACAAGGUGCAUGCUAGCCAAAGUUUUUAUGCUUUUUCCUCCACUGUUUUCACAAUUGUUGGAAUUAAUCAUUUCAGUCCCUUCUGUGCAUUCUUAGUAUCCAACACACUGCUUCUCAGCAUUUGGGGAAAACUCCCAUAUUCCAUUGUUUCUCAAUGCCACUGAUUAUAUACCCCAAUUUCAGAUAUGCUAAAAUGUGGGAAGAGUGGACAUCUUACAACCAAUAAAAAAGGGUCUUUGCA